rnacentral:lncRNA from 1 species
GUCGCCAUGGCGACGAGCUGUACACUACCACGGCUUUCCAGUUCGCGAGUGCUGGCUGCACGGCUGCCCUAGGGUCAUGGCCUCCUCCAAACCGCAGUGCCCCAGCUUGGCGACCACGUCGAGAAUACACCUGCGGCCUCUAGGAGUGACCAAAGAUGAUUCCUUCAUCACAGAAACCAAGAAUCCCCAAAAGCGCAAGCUUUCUCAGAAACGGAAGACACUGCUGGUUAGUGGCAAUGUCCUAUUGGAACCUCAAAUUUUGAUCCCCAGAUCCUUUCCACCUUCCUCUCUGCAAUUCAAAAGCACCACCCUCGGAGUUCCGGUAGAAGGGCAGUGGUUAACGAAUCCGACUAGGAACCAUGAGGUUGCGGGUUCGGUCCCUGCCCUUGCUCAGGGGGUUAACGAUCCGGCGUUGCCGUGAGCUGUGGUGUAGGUUGCAGACGCGGCUCGGAUCCUGCGUUGCUGUGGCUCUGGCGUAGGCUGGUGGCUACAGCUCCGAUUGGACCCCUAGCCUGGGAACCUCCAUAUGCCCCGGGAGCGGCCCAAGAAAUAGCAACAACAACAAAAAAGACAAAAGACAAAAGACAAAAAAAAAAAAAAAAAAAAAGCACCACCCACUUGAGACAUGCCCCACCAAGUGGCUUCUGCCCAGUCAGGGGAGUGUGGCUCAGAGACCAGGCCCACCAGGCUCUGGGGUGGGAGUGUGCACACUUGCUGCAUCUCCCAGACCUCCUAGCAUAGAGCAACUCAGCCCCCACCCACAGAAAACCUUCCCCUGCAACUCAGCGUUCUGGAGUGGACCUCAUUUCUUCUUCCAGCCUGCCAAGUGCCAGGCAGUGUGCUAGAUGCUGGGGUAGUCCCACCAGAUUUGAUAAGGUCCUUCAGAACUAUGACUGUAUCUUUUUGUCUUUAUGGCCCUAUAUAGUGCCUGAUGUGGUACUUAAGUGGCUAGUACAUGUGCACCAUAAAUGCUGUAAGUAGGCAUGUGAAGGCAAGAAAAAAGGAUGUUCAGACUCCUGUUGUGGCUCAGCAGGUCACGAACCCGACUAGUAUCCAUGAGGACUAGGGUUCGAUCCCUGGCCUCACUCAGUGGGAUAAGGAUCCGGUGUUGCCAUGAGCUGUGGUGUAGGUCGCAGAUGGGACUUGGAUCCCACGUUGCUGUGGCUGUGGUGAAGGCCAACAGCUACAGCUCCAAUUCAACCCCUAGCCUGGGAACUUCCAUAUGCCUCAAGUACGGCCCUAAAAACCAAUCCUUCUCUUUUAAAGCUUAUAUAUAAAAAUGAAUGCUAUCUUAUUAAGUAUUUGGGGGCUCUUGUUGAUAUGAUCAUAAAAUUAAUAUUACCACUUAGUCAGCAAACAGACAUUGUCCAAAUCUUACAGAUGUAAAAACACAUUUGCUCAAACUUAUAACUCCGGCUCAC